UUCGAGUGGAAACCCUCACGGCCGCCGGUGGUGGGCCCCGGCGCGGCGCUGGGCUCCGGCGGGUCUGCGCUGGGGAGGGCCAGGGCCCCUGAAGCCGGCGUCCCUCUUAGGGGACGCGCCUGGGUGUGUCUUCACCGUUUGCCUGUCUGGCCCUGUCGCCCAGGCUGGAGUGCCAUGGCGCGAUCUCGGUUCACUGCAGCCUCCACCUCCCGGGCACAGGCGAUCCUCCCGCCUCAGCCUCCAGAGCACCUGGGACCACAGGUGUCCACGCGCAGCCACUAACCGCUUUCU
rnacentral:lncRNA from 1 species